UACGUAGGGUGCGAGCGUUAAUCGGAAUUACUGGGCGUAAAGCGUGCGCAGGCGGUUAUGUAAGACAGAUGUGAAAUCCCAGGGCUCAACCUUGGAACUGCAUUUGUGACUGCAUAGCUAGAGUACGGUAGAGGGGGGAUGGAAUUCCGCGUGUAGCAGUGAAAUGCGUAGAUAUGCGGAGGAACACCGAUGGCGAAGGCAAUCCCCUGGGCCUGCACUGACGCUCAUGCACGAAAGCGUGGGGAGCAAACAGG
rnacentral:rRNA from 1 species